AUAUCAAUAAGCGGAGGAAAAGAAACCAACAGGGAUUGCCUCAGUAACGGCGAGUGAAGCGGCAACAGCUCAAAUUUGAAAUCUGGCCCGUCCCGGGUCCGAGUUGUAAUUUGGAGAGGAUGCUUCGGAUAAAGCUGCGGUUCAAGUCCCUUGGAACAGGGCGUCACAGAGGGUGAGAAUCCCGUCUUCGACCGUGAGCGGCGUCCGUGUGAAGCUCCUUCGACGAGUCGCGUUGUUUGGGAAUGCAGCGCAAAAUGGGUGGUAAAUUUCAUCUAAAGCUAAAUAUUGGCCAGAGACCGAUAGCGCACAAGUAGAGUGAUCGAAAGAUGAAAAGUACUUUGAAAAGAGAGUUAAACAGCAUGUGAAAUUGUUGAAAGGGAAGCGCUUGCAGCCAGACUCGUGGGCGGCGAUUCAGCCGGGGAUCUCUCCCCGGUGCACUUUGCCGUCUCCGGGCCAGCAUCGGUUUGGGCAGCCAGUGAAAGGCCCGGGGAAUGUAUCAACCCUCUCGGGGGCUUGACUUAUAGCCCCGGGUGCCAUAUGGCUCGUCGAGACCGAGGAACGCGCUCCGGCACGGAUGCUGGCGUAAUGGCUGUAAGCGACCCGUCUUGAAACACGGACCAAGGAGUCUAACAUCUAUGCGAGUGUUCGGGUGUCAAACCCUGGCGCGUAAUGAAAGUGAACGGAGGUCGGAGCCUGCCUGUGCGGGUGCACGAUCGACCGAUCCUGAUGUUCUCGGAUGGAUUUGAGUAAGAGCAUAGCUGUUGGGACCCGAAAGAUGGUGAACUAUGCGUGUAUAGGGUGAAGCCAGAGGAAACUCUGGUGGAGGCUCGCAGCGGUUCUGACGUGCAAAUCGAUCGUCAAAUACGCGUAUAGGGGCGAAAGACUAAUCGAACCAUCUGGUAGCUGGUUCCUGC
rnacentral:rRNA from 1 species